rnacentral:rRNA from 1 species
AACGAACGCUGGCGGCAUGCCUAACACAUGCAAGUCGAACGAAACCUCCGGGAGUAGUGGCGCACGGCUGUGUAGCGCGAGGGAAGCGGCACUCAGGGUCGGAACAACUCUACGACAGGGGUGACAAUACCGGAUAAGGUCUUCGAACCAAAGAUUUAUCGCCCUUGGUUGUGCACUCGUUGGAUUAGCUAGUUGGUAGGGUAAAAGCCUACUAAGGCGACGAUCCAUAGCUGGUCUGAGAGGAUGCUCAGCAACACGGGGACUGAGACACGGCCGGGACUCCUACGCGAGGGAGCAGUGGGUAAUGUAGGACAAGGGGGGAAGGCCUGAUACAGCAAUGCCGCGUGAGUGAUGAAGGCCGUAGGGUAGUAAAGCUCUUUUACCCGGGAUGAUAAUGACAGUACCGGGAGAAUAAGCUCCGGCUAACUCCGUG